AUUUUGACCAAAAUUGCAGACGACAAAAUUUGCCGAGAGUUUGCGCAUUUUUGGUUUUUGAAUCUUGUUGUAAAUAAAGAAAAAGCCAUACAACUUAUGAGUUACAUAACUAUUGGCAGUUGCAAGAAAAGUAGGCAGCAAUGUUUUAAAUCUUCAUUAGGCCUACCUGUCGAGAACCCAUAAUUAA